rnacentral:misc_RNA from 1 species
CUGCUCGCCUCCCCCUCCUUCUUUUUCCCUUGCGCAGCAGCAAGAAGCCCCUGCUCGCAGUCUUGGCGUCCAACUUCGCUGCGCAGCGGUGCCGAUCCAAAACAGCAGCCCCGAAUCCCCCGCAUCGCGUGCUCGCUCGAUCUGCGCAGCCCCAACAUUGACGCCGUUCACCCCGGCGAGGAACCCCGUGUGUUGCGUGGAGAAGGCAAGUCGUUCAACGCUCGUCGGAUGCUCGGAGCGAUGCACAAAUCGGAAUCGCCAUCGUCCUUACAAACACCGAUUGGGUUUGUUUAUGGUGAGCCGAUGAUCGCGUUUGCGAUUGGAGAACAAGAGGUUAUUUGA